AACUUAAAUUAAAAAAAAAAGAAAUACAACAUCGUAUAAUCAGAUCUUAUCACGUGGAAGUUGCUAUUUUUGAAGAGACUUAUCGGGUAACGACCUAUUCUUUUAUAUUAUUACGAUUAUUUAAAAAUGAAAGGAAUAACAAUCAACAAAUGAAAAUCUAAGUUCCGGGAUGAUAUGCCACUUCGUGAGAAUUCAUGUCUCGACGCUAACCGCAAACGUUCAAAGUCUGUCCAAUUGAUAGAGCUCAACCAUCCAAAACCGGAAGUUUCAGCCAUCAUUAUUAAGAACGACCGGUCGUGCUUUCGCGGUUCUACAAAUUACAUCGGGAUCCACGAUUGGACUUAAACAAAAUCCGUACACGCGAGUGCACGCCCAUAUUCGCACAAUCGUUCUACCUAUUCUAACCGCAUAGUAGAAAGGACUUUUGUUUUCUAUAUAUAAUACGGAUAUAUUUAAAAAAAGAACUCCUCUAUAAAAGUCUAAAUUCCCUCGACGAUAAACGGAUCCAGCUUAAGAUAAAAGAAGAAGAAAAAAAGAAAAAAGAACAAAAAACCACCAAACCAAGGGAACCACACCCAAGGAUCCUCCGUCCAAGAGUACUGCACAAUAAAGACCUAUAAGUGGUCACGGAGCCUCAAAGCACCAUGUGUGGCCGAUUCGCGUAUAAAAAUUGCUCUGCAUGCUGUUUCAAGAACAAUUGAAGGAGAAAAGAAAAAGAGGAAGAAAAAUUUAUAUGGAAAAAUUUCCUGUAGAAAUUUCAGAUUGUUUAACCUCGAAAAAUUUAAAGCAUUGUCACUAAAAAGUGAAGGAAGUAUCGAAAAUAAAAUUAAAAGAUUAGAAAAAGGUUAUCAAGUAAUAGCAAUUGAAGGUGUUGCCGAAUAGUCGAUUUAUUUUUACGAAUAUCUUUUAAACGUGACAUUCUCAUAAUAAUACGAACAAUAAAACUUAGAAUACGUGCAUCAAAGAAUCGAUUAAUAUAAUAUAUUGGAAGAGGAUCUGCGUUUAGGAAAAAUAUGUUAAUUACCUGUAAUUAAUGAGGACGAUAAAAAUUCCACGUUUAGCUGUCAACGUUCUAAAGGACAAAAUGGUGUCGUAUUUAUUGCUAAGCUUUUCUUCGCACAUGCGCAAUAGUACAUAUUACGUUUCUUUUCAUCUUCUUUUUUUUUUUUUUUUUUUAAUUAUUUUUAUUUAUACACAUCAUCAUUUAUUUGUAUUUAACAAUUAACACAUGAUUUUUAAUAAAAAGUAUUCUUUGAUCGUACACACAUACACAAGUAUAUAUAUAAAAGUAUAUUUUAUAUAUAUAUAUAUCCUUUCACUUAUAAUAUAAAGGUAUUGAUUCACAUAGAAUAAAGAUGAUUCCAAAAAAAAAAGCUAUGUAGAUAAAUUAAGAAAAGACAUAUAAGUGAAAAUAACAUUCAUAUCUACUUUGAUUGUAAAACGUUAUUUAAUGAUAAAAGAUUUUCAUUUCAGAAUAAAUAUGAAAUUUGGAUAAAUUUUCAAAAUGAUUUAGAAUAUCCUGAUCAUACAUGCAUAUUUAUAUAAAUUAUAGAAAAUAUAAAUUUACCUGAAUAUAUAAUAAAAGUUAUAAUAGAAAAUAUAAUAACAGAUCAGACACUUAUUGAGACAUAUAAAAUGUAUGUACCUCAAGAAGUUUGUAGACCAACAAUUGGAAUGGGUUGCGUAUAUAAUAUAUAUAUAUUGUAUAUGUAUACAAGUAUAACUAAAAACAUUCACAAAUAUAUAAUUGAAAAUAAACUUUUUUUAUAAUAUUUUUUUGAGAAAAAUCUUCUCGUGAAAAUGAAUCCUACUUUAGAAGUAGAAACGUUGGUGAUAUAAUAAAAUUAUAACAAAUAUAUGAAAGUUCAGUAAAAAGUUGUGUGUUAUUUAAAGGAAAUAGAAAUAUAUAUUUUAUGUAGAUAAUAAAAAUUUUAUGGAGAUAUAUGUAUCAGUUGAUUGAUUCUAUAAUUCUAAGUUUUAAUCAAUUACAGAUAUAACAGGUUACUUUAAUAAUUUUGAAGUAAACUUUGAUAAAUAUGAACUCUAAAUGUGAUUAAGGAUUAUAUUCUGUUGUAAUAAAAUAAUUGUCAUAGUCAUAUGUGAAAUUUAUAAGAGUUUUUAUGUUUUAUAUAACAAAUAAUAAGGAUGAAAACUAUUUGCUGCACAGUAGCAGCAAAAUACAAACAUAAUAGAUUUUAGUACAUAGCUGAAGUAAUAGGUGUAUACUAUAUGAUUUUUUGUAUUUAUUUUUUACAUUAUAAAACUAUAUCUGUAAUAUACAAGUCUAACACAUUGUAACUGUUUACAAAAUCUUUUGGUUUUAGAGCACAAACAAUUCAAUGUUCACUAGAUUUCAUACUACUCUACAAGUGAACAAUUUUGUUUUAUAUUUUUCUUCCUUUUCUUUUUUUUUUUUUAAGAAAUAAUUUGUUAUUCCUUCUUGUAAAGUAUAUAAAUAUAUAAA